rnacentral:lncRNA from 1 species
GAGGGCGCGCGAGGCGCCGCACGGGGGAGGCUUCUCCGAAAGCCGCGAGGGCAGCUCCCGUGUGUCCGCUGUGCAAACCGGUCCUUCCGCCAAAAACCUGCUGUCUGGCUUUUCUCAGGCCUCCCUGGAUGGAUGUUGGGAGAGUUUACGCGUGGCCUUGUGGGAUCGCUGUGGCGGACUCUCAGCUAUCAGAGGGCUCCAUCACUCCAUCGUAAGGAGGCAGCUGGUGGCGAGUCCUGAGCAGGGAUGUGAUCCGACGGGCAGGCGGCGCCCGGGACAGAAGCUGACGUCACACAGGUGAGUCCCCCACCUCCCCACAGGCUUCCUCCACCCCCUCGGCAGCCCAGCAGGGCCUGUCAAUCAGUGGGACCUGGUCAGCUGGCUGCUAGGGGACCUCAGGCAGGGGGGCUUGUCCGCAGGGCCUCCAGCAAGGGGGGACAUUCAUGACACCCAGCAGGGCUCAAGAAGGUGAGACAGAGGGACACUGAACCCAGCCCUUUACAGAAGACCUGAGUCCACCGAGGAAGGGGGCCAACCCCCUCCCCGCGUCUGCAUCCCCAGGACCACCCCGGGUGGAGAGGGCCGAGUGUGGUGCCUCCGCGGGUGCUCUGACGAUCGUCUCGAGCCACGGGGGUGACAGUGACAAGGACCUGUGUGCACGUUAGUGGGGCAGCCAGGCCUAGCUGGAGAAGAAACACACACACGCACACGUUCACCCACAUACACGUGCACACACAUGCUGCCAGUUCAGGGGGUGGAGGACGCUGACUCCAGGCCCAGCUGACCUGCGCGGGGCCCUAUUGUGAUGUGUGCAGCCACCCCAUGACGUCACCGGUGCCAAGUGCCGGCUGUGUGCGGAGCAGUUGGAGACACAGUGGGUGUCCGAGGGGGGGCUCUGCGUCCGGAGGUGAGAGGCGAGACGUCCGAGGUCAGAGGGGAGGAGACGGACCCGACCUUCCUUGGCUGUGCUCUCCAGCCCUGUCCUGUGCUGGACCCAACCUAACCUCUGCAGCCUCCCUGCCCUGGACACAAAUCUGGCUGAGACCCCAGACCCUGAUGGGGCAGAGCCUGGCACUGGAGGAGCCACCAGGAUGGGCCCCUGUGGGUGUGGGCAGAGGGUGAUCCUCAGUUCAGGUUUUUGCCAGAAGAUGGGUUCCUGCAGGAGGGGGUCUCAGCAGCUCAGACUUCAGAUGCGCUCACUGCUGCUCACUGUGGGACAGCCAGACACGGAGCCCUCUGUUCUCCAGCAGUUGUGGACAAUGAGGGAUCCCUGGAGGGAUGCCUGGUGGGCAGCAGGAGUCCCUCUUGUGGGUCAGGGUGCGGGGAUGGGCUCUCCCUGCAGGGACUUCCCAGUCUUGUCCUCUGGGAUUGGCAGUUUGCAGGGGUAUCCUCGGCAUCAGACCAGGGGGGCCACACAGGGACCCAGAUCUAUGGGGCCCAGCCCCGGGAAGACCAGAUGGGCUCAGUGGAGAAGCUGACCACAUCUGCUUUCCUUUCAGCCAAACCGGGGAGCGUCCCGGCACCCAGGCCUCUGCGGGUAACCCCAGGCAUCAAGACCCUCCCUCAAGGGGAGGAGCUGGCUCUCCCCUGCCCAUCAGCACAGCUCCAGAAUCCCAAGGGGUCAGCUCCCACAUGGGGGCCUGGUCCUGCCACACACUGGCCUAGCUGGGCUGUCCCCGAGGCCAAGGCCUAGCGGCAUGAGGGGGCUUCCGUGGAGCCCAGGGCAGUGGGCUGCUCUCUGGAGUCCCUAGGACUCGGGGUGUGGCUGGCCUGUCCCCAGAUCAGGACACACCCCAGGUUGUCCAGUGGUUCCCGUGCUGGAACUCCUGUUGAAGCCACCCAGGGACCUGGAUGCUUCCCACAGUUCAGCAUGGAGCAGGGGUGCUGGGCCCUGACCCCUCCACGUCUGUCCUGGACACCCCAGGACCACAGCACAGGCCCAGCCCUGCAACCCCAGCGGGGCCCUGAUACCAGGCCCUGCCCAGCCCCGUAAUGACCAAGAGGCAGGUCCAGAGAUACCUCCUGCACAGGGUCACCUGCAUCUGACGCCCCCAGCAGGCAGUGACCAGCACGGUGUGGAAGGAGCCAGGGUGGCACCCGGCAGCCCUAGAGGGCUCCUGGCCUCGGGAAGUCUAUCGAUGGGGAAGCUGGUCACUCGGAGGCUGCUGGGGAGAAGGGGGAGUGUGGCAUUCCCUGGACAGAAGGGCAAGUGUGGCGUCCCCUGGAGAGAAGGGCGAGUGUGGCGUCCCCUGGAGAGAAGGGCGAGUGUGGCGUCCCCUGGAGAGAAGGGCGAGUGUGGCGUCCCCUGGACAGAAGGGGGAGUGUGGCGUCCCCUGGAGAGAAGGGGGAGUGUGGCGUCCCCUGGAGAGAAGGGGGAGUGUGGCGUCCCCUGGAGAGAAGGGCGAGUGUGGCGUCCCCUGGACAGAAGGGGGAGUGUGGCGUCCCCUGGAGAGAAGGGGGAGUGUGGCGUCCCCUGGAGAGAAGGGGGAGUGUGGCGUCCCCUGGAGAGAAGGGGGAGUGUGGCGUCCCCUGGAGAGAAGGGCGAGUGUGGCGUCCCCUGGAGAGAAGGGCGAGUGUGGCGUCCCCUGGACAGAAGGGGGAGUGUGGCGUCCCCUGGAGAGAAGGGCCAGUGUGGCGUCCCCUGGAGAGAAGGGGGAGUGUGGCGUCCCCUGGAGAGAAGGGGGAGUGUGGCGUCCCCUGGACAGAAGGGGGAGUGUGGCGUCCCCUGGAGAGAAGGGCCAGUGUGGCGUCCCCUGGAGAGAAGGGCGAGUGUGGCGUCCCCUGGACAGAAGGGGGAGUGUGGCGUCCCCUGGAGAGAAGGGCGAGUGUGGCGUCCCCUGGAGAGAAGGGCGAGUGUGGCGUCCCCUGGAGAGAAGGGGGAGUGUGGCGUCCCCUGGACAGAAGGGGGAGUGUGGCGUCCCCUGGAGAGAAGGGCGAGUGUGGUGUUCGCUGGAGAGAAGGGCGAGUGUGGUAUUCCCUGGACAAAAGGGGGAGUGUCCCUGCAGCCCUGGCCAGCCAGCGGCAUGCCCUGCUAGCUCUCCCCCAACCUCAGGGAUAGGGAACCCUGACAGGGCACAAGUCCCCGUCCCAGAGGGGCCUGGCCCAGCCUCAACCCGGGCCCUGGGAGGGGAGGGGCACCAGGGGCGCUGUGGGCCCCCAGCAGAAGCCAGGAUGACCACACAGGGGACUGAGCUGUCUGUGGCUGUGGCCAGACCUAGAACUUGGCCCAAGGCAGGGCAAGCCCCUUGGAGCAGAGUGGGUGGCAGAGCCUGUGUAUACCCAGCAAGGCUGAGCCAGUGACACUACCAGGCUCCAAGAGCAACCAGCCAUGAGGCAGGCGUGGGGCAAGGGUAGGGUGAGGGCAGGGGCGGGGGAGAGUGGGGCAGGAGCAGACGGACCAGCUGCCAACCUCGUCCACUCCAGGAGGCAGGGAUGGCCAGGCUCCCACGCCCUACUGGCCGCUACCCGACCACCAAUGAGGCAGAGGCCUGAGGCCAGUCGGUGCUGGAGCCCUACUUCCAAGGUCCACAGACCGCUUCAGGCCACAGAGCCGAAGAAAACUGGGCAUGUGAAGGCCCAGGAGGCGGGGUCCCUAUGUCUGCCAUUCUUGGCAGGUGCAUUUCACGCUGGGAGCAAGUCAGGAAAGGUGAUGCCUCUCACCGCCAAGAAGGCUCCCAGCAGAGACCAGAGCCACCGGCACAGAUCCCCAACCCCUGAAACCACCUCCCUCUGGAGGACCAGGACGCCCUCCUAGUUGGUAGAAGCACAGUAAGCUCUCUGUCCUUAUGAUCUGCCUGCUUGUCCAGAGCUCUCUGCCAGAAGCCGUGGACACUGGGGCAGGCGGGAGGAGAGAGCACCACAGCCCAGACCCCUGACCGGCCUCUCCCAACCUCCCCCUCCCAAAGGCUAUGGAGAGCCCAGGGCUGGACAGGCCUGAGGUUCCGACAUACCUCAUGCCAGGCCACACGCGCACCGUGUCCCACCCUCAGCCGAAAACCAAGAUCAAGACCAUCCAAUAAUUUACUGUGAUCCCAUCUGUGCCCGACAAGGGCCCACAGAGGCCUGGGAGGGGAGCUAAGGGCUGGGGUUCCGGUG